rnacentral:rRNA from 1 species
AUACGUAGGGUGCAAGCGUUAAUCGGAAUUACUGGGCGUAAAGCGUGCGCAGGCGGUUUUGUAAGACAGAGGUGAAAUCCCCGGGCUCAACCUGGGAACUGCCUUUGUGACUGCAAGGCUAGAGUACGGCAGAGGGGGAUGGAAUUCCGCGUGUAGCAGUGAAAUGCGUAGAUAUGCGGAGGAACACCGAUGGCGAAGGCAAUCCCCUGGGCCUGUACUGACGCUCAUGCACGAAAGCGUGGGGAGCAAACAGGAUUAGAUACCCUGGUAGUCCACGCCCUAAACGAUGUCAACUGGUUGUUGGGUCUUCAUUGACUCAGUAACGAAGCUAACGCGUGAAGUUGACCGCCCGGGGAGUACGGCCUCAAGGUUGAAACUCAAAUGAAUUGACGGGG